GCCGGGCGUUGGUGGCGCACGCCUUUGAUCCCAGCACUCGGGAGGCAGAGGCAGGUGGAUCUCUGUGAGUUCGAGGCCAGCCUGGUCUACAGAGUGAGUUCCAGGACAGUCUCCAAAGCCACAGAGAAACCCUGUCUCGAAAAACCAAAAAAAAAAAAAGAGAGACCCUGUCUUGAAGGAGAAAAAAAAGAACAAAAAAAGAUGAGGGUGGGGUCCUCUGGUUUGGUUUGUUUUUUCCAGACAGGGUUUCUCUGUGGCUUUGGAGGCUGUCCUGGAACUGGCUCUGUAGACCAGGCUGGCCUCGAACUCACAGAGAUCCGCCUGCCUCUG
rnacentral:SRP_RNA from 1 species